GGCGCUGUACCCAAGUGGCUAAGGGAAAGACCCGCAAAGUCUUUAUUCAGUGGUUCGAGUCCACUCGGCGCCU
rnacentral:tRNA from 1 species